GUGGGGAAUAUUGGACAAUGGGCGAAAGCCUGAUCCAGCCAUGCCGCGUGUGUGAAGAAGGUCUUCGGAUUGUAAAGCACUUUAAGUUGGGAGGAAGGGUAGUAACCUAAUACGUUGCUACUUUGACGUUACCGACAGAAUAAGCACCGGCUAACUUCGUGCCAGCAGCGGCGGUAAUACGAAGGGUGCAAGCGUUAAUCGGAAUUACUGGGCGUAAAGCGCGCGUAGGUGGUUGAGUAAAGUGGAAGUGAAAUCCCCGGGCUCAACCUGGGAACUGCUUUCAAAACUGCUGGGCUAGAGUACGGUAGAGGGUGGUGGAAUUUCCUGUGUAGCGGUGAAAUGCGUAGAUAUAGGAAGGAACACCAGUGGCGAAGGCGACCACCUGGACUGAUACUGACACUGAGGUGCGAAAGCGUGGGGAGCAAACAGGAUUAGAAACCCCAGUAGUCC
rnacentral:rRNA from 1 species